UACGUAGGGUGCAAGCGUUGUCCGGAAUUAUUGGGCGUAAAGAGCUCGUAGGCGGUCUGUUGCGUCGGCUGUGAAAACCCGGGGCUCAACCCCGGGCCUGCAGCCGAUACGGGCAGGCUAGAGUUCGGCAGGGGAGAUCGGAAUUCCUGGUGUAGCGGUGAAAUGCGCAGAUAUUAGGAAGAACACCGGUGGCGAAGGCGGCCCACUGGCUCGAUACUGACGCUGAGGUGCGAAAGCGUGGGGAGCAAACAGG
rnacentral:rRNA from 1 species